CCUACGGGAGGCAGCAGUCGAGAAUCAUUCACAAUGGGGGAAACCCUGAUGGUGCGACGCCGCGUGAAGGAAGACGGUUUUCGGAUUGUAAACUUCUGUUCUUAGUGAAGAAUAAUGACGGUAGCUAAGGAUAAAGACACGGCUAACUACGUGCCCGCAGCCGCGGUAAUACGUAGGUGGCAAGCGUUGUCCGGAAUUACUGGGUGUAAAGGGAGAGCAGGCGGGAAGCCAAGUCAGCUGUGAAAACUACGGGCUUAACGUGUAGACUGCAGUUGAAACUGGUUUUCUUGAGUGAAGUAGAGGUUGGCGGAAUUCCGAGUGUAGCGGUGAAAUGUGUAGAUAUUCGGAGGAACACCGGUGGCGAAGGCGGCCAACUGGGCUUUAACUGACGCUGAGGCUCGAAAGUGUGGGGAGCAAACAGGAUUAGAUACCCGGGUAGUC
rnacentral:rRNA from 1 species